AACCAAAGCCAUUGCUUUUGAAGUUGUUAAAGUCUGUUGGCGCACAAAAAGACACACGAUGAAAGAGGUUCUAUUUUAUCUUGGCCAGUACAUCAUGACUGAAUGCCUGUAUGAUGAAAAGCAGCAGCAUAUUGUGUAUUGUUCAAAUGACCUUCUGGGAGAGCUGUUUGGCAUGCCCAGCCUCUCUGUUAAAAAGCACAGGAAAAUAUAUACAAUGAUCUACUUAAACUUGGUGGUAGUUAACCAGCAGGAACCUUCAAUCUCUGGAACACCCAUCUGUGAGUGAGGACAGGUGUCACCCUGAAGAUAGGAGUGAUCAAAAGGACCUUGUGCCAAAGCUACAAGAAGAAAAGACUUCGUCUUCACACGUAGCUUCCAGACUAUCUACCUCAUCUAGAAAGAGAGCUGUCAGUGAACAAAGAGAACGCCAACGAGCUGCCAGGUGAGCGAGAGAGGAAACAGCACAAGUCGGACACUAUCGCCUCUCGCUGUCGUCUGACGAAAGUCUGGCCCUGUGUAUGGUUUGGGAGAUCUGCAGCGAGAGAGCCAGCAGCAGAGACGACCAGCCCUGAUCUUGAUGCCAGGGUGCCGUCCAGCCCUGAUCUUGAUGCCAGUGUAAGUGAACAUUCAGGUGAUUGGUUGGACCAGGAUUCAGUUUCAGAUCCAUUUAGAGUAGAAUCUGAAGUUGAGUCUCUUGAUUCAGAAGAUUACAGCCUCAGUGAAGAAGGACAGGAACUCUCCACUGAAGAUGAUGAGAUGUAUCGGGUUACUGUGUCCCAGGCAGGGGAGGACAAAAUGGACUCAUUUGAAGAAGAUCUGAAAAUUUCCUUAGCUGACUACUGGAAGUGCCUCGCGUGCAGGGAAGUGAACCCUCCCGCGCCACCGCAUUGCAACAGAUACUGGGCCCUGCAUGAUAUAGCUGGCUUCCCAAGGACAAAGGGAAGGACAGAGGGGACUCCCCUGAGAAGGCCACCCUGGAGCACCCUGCACAGACUGAGAAGGGCUUCGACGAUCCGGACUGUAAAAUGACUGCAGUGAGCAAUUUCAAGGAGUCAAGUCCCGAGGAAAACUACAAGAAAGCCACACCAGCCUCCCAGUCACAGGAGAGUGAGAACUACUCCCAGCCAUCCACUUAAUCUAGUAACAUCGUUUGUAGCAGCCAGGAAGACUUCUGAGAGCACGAAAGGGAAGACACACAAGAUAGAGAAGAUGGCAUGGAGGCUAGCUUUCUCUUCAACACCAUCGAGUCCUGUGUGAUCCGCCAAGGUCGACAAGAAUGGGUGCGUUGUACACAGCAAAACCAGAUACCUCAGGGCCCGCCUCCCAUGCACCAGGAAGCUAAAAAAGAGACACAAGCCCUGCCUGGUGUGUGGGCAGCCCAUACAGAUGAUCGUGCUGACCGACUUCCCCUAG